UUAUAGUGUAAAUAGUAUCUGCAUUAGUUUAUACUUUGUCAAUGCAGAUGUAACUGGUACAAUCUUGGAAGCCUUGGUGAGACGGCACAGGUUUCACCAAUCUGGCCGUAUUUAUUCACCAUUCUCUUCUAAGAGAAUAAACAGCCAUCAGCUCACA